GCAAGUCGAGCGAGGUUUAAGUAGCUUGCUACUUAGACCUAGCGGCGGACGCGUGCGUAACGCGUGGGCAACCUACCCUAUACAUCGGAAUAACUCAUCGAAAGGUGGGCUAAUGCCGAAUACCUCCUUUAUAUCGAUUGUUAUUUAGGAGAAAGCUUUUGCGGUAUAGGAUGGGCCCGCGUCUGAUUAGCUAGUUGGUGAGGUAACGGCUCACCAAGGCGACGAUCAGUAGCCGACCUGAGAGGGUGAUCGGCCACAUUGGAACUGAGACACGGUCCAAACUCCUACGGGAGGCAGCAGUGGGGAAUAUUGCACAAUGGGCGAAAGCCUGAUGCAGCAACGCCGCGUGAGUGAUGAAGGUUUUCGGAUCGUAAAACUCUGUUCUAAGGGAAGAUAAUGACGGUACCUUAGGAGAAAGCCCCGGCUAACUACGUGCCAGCAGCCGCGGUAAUACGUAGGGGGCAAGCGUUAUCCGGAAUUACUGGGCGUAAAGGGUGCGUAGGUGGCCUGACAAGUCAGGGGUCAAAGGCAACGGCUCAACCGUUGUAAGCCCUUGAAACUGUCGGGCUUGAGUUCAGGAGAGGAAAGCGGAAUUCCAAGUGUAGCGGUGAAAUGCGUAGAUAUUUGGAGGAACACCAGCGGCGAAGGCGGCUUUCUGGACUGAUACUGACACUGAGGCACGAAAGCGUGGGGAGCAAACAGGAUUAGAUACCCUGGUAGUCCACGCCGUAAACGAUGAGUACUAGGUGUUGGCCCU
rnacentral:rRNA from 1 species